UGCAAGUCGAACGAGCGAGAGAGAGCUUGCUUUCUCGAGCGAGUGGCGAACGGGUGAGUAACGCGUGAGGAACCUGCCUCAAAGAGGGGGAUAACCGGGAGAAAUUCCGACUAAUACCGCAUACGUCCUCCGGGGGCAUCCCCUGGGGAUGAAAGAAUUAUCGGUGAAGGAUGGGCAUGCGUGAUAUUAGGUAGUUGGCGGGGCAACGGCCCACCAAGCCCACGAUAUCUAGGGGUUCUGAGAGGAAGGUCCCCACAUUGGUACUGAGACACGGUCCAAACUCC
rnacentral:rRNA from 1 species